rnacentral:rRNA from 1 species
GACGUAGGGCGCGAGCGUUGUCCGGAAUUAUUGGGCGUAAAGAGCUCGUAGGCGGUGUGUCGCGUCGGCCGUGAAAACCUGCAGCUUAACUGUGGGCUUGCGGUCGAUACGGGCAUCACUGGAGUUCGGCAGGGGAGACUGGAAUUCCUGGUGUAGCGGUGAAAUGCGCAGAUAUCAGGAGGAACACCGGUGGCGAAGGCGGGUCUCUGGGCCGAUACUGACGCUGAGACGCGAAAGCGUGGGGAGCAAACAGG